rnacentral:rRNA from 1 species
CAAUAGCGUAUAUUGACGUUGUUGCAGUUAAAAAGCUCGUAGUUGGAUUUCUGGGGGGAGCGUCGGCCCGUAUUUACGAGUGCGUGACGUCUCUGUCCAUCCUUGCGGGAAGGCACGGCAUUGAUUUGUUGUGUCGGAUCGCAUCAUUUACUGUGAAAAAAUUAGAGUGUUCAAAGCAGGCUUUCGCUUGAAUACAUUAGCAUGGAAUAAUAAGAUAGGACUUUGGUGCUAUUUUGUUGGUUGAGCCUAAAGUAAUGAUUAAUAGGGAUAGUUGGGGGCACCUGUAUUGCGUUGUCAGAGGUGAAAUUCUUGGAUUUACGCAAGACAAACAGCUGCGAAAGCGUCUGCCAAGGAUGUUUUCAUUA